rnacentral:rRNA from 1 species
UACGGGGGGGGCAAGCGUUGUUCGGAAUUACUGGGCGUAAAGGGCUCGUAGGCGGCCAACUAAGUCAGACGUGAAAUCCCUCGGCUUAACCGGGGAACUGCGUCUGAUACUGGAUGGCUUGAGAUUGGGAGAGGGAUGCGGAAUUCCAGGUGUAGCGGUGAAAUGCGUAGAUAUCUGGAGGAACACCGGUGGCGAAGGUGGCAUCCUGGACCAACACUGACGCUGAGUGAGCGAAAGCCAGGGGAGCAAACGGG